rnacentral:rRNA from 1 species
AGUGAACGCUGGCGGUAGGCCUAACACAUGCAAGUCGAACGGCAGCACAGUAAGAGCUUGCUCUUACGGGUGGCGAGUGGCGGACGGGUGAGGAAUACAUCGGAAUCUACUUUUUCGUGGGGGAUAACGUAGGGAAACUUACGCUAAUACCGCAUACGACCUACGGGUGAAAGCAGGGGUUCUUCGGACCUUGCGCGAUUGAAUGAGCCGAUGUCGGAUUAGCUAGUUGGCGGGGUAAAGGCCCACCAAGGCGACGAUCCGUAGCUGGUCUGAGAGGAUGAUCAGCCACACUGGAACUGAGACACGGUCCAGACCCCUACGGGAGGCAGCAGUGGGGAAUAUUGGACAAUGGGCGCAAGCCUGAUCCAGCCAUACCGCGUGGGUGAAGAAGGCCUUCGGGUUGUAAAGCCCUUUUGUUGGGAAAGAAAAGCAGCAGGUUAAUACCCCGCUGUUCUGACGGUACCCAAAGAAUAAGCACCGGCUAACUUCGUG